UACGGAGGGUGCAAGCGUUAUCCGGAUUCACUGGGUUUAAAGGGUGCGUAGGUGGGCCUGUAAGUCAGUGGUGAAAUCUCCGGGCUUAACCCGGAAACUGCCAUUGAUACUAUAGGUCUUGAAUUUUCUGGAGGUGAGCGGAAUAUGUCAUGUAGCGGUGAAAUGCUUAGAUAUGACAUAGAACACCAAUUGCGAAGGCAGCUCGCUACAGGAACAUUGACACUGAGGCACGAAAGCGUGGGGAUCAAACAGG
rnacentral:rRNA from 1 species